rnacentral:rRNA from 1 species
UACAGAGGGUGCAAGCGUUGUCCGGAAUCACUGGGCGUAAAGGGCGCGUAGGCGGCUCGGUAAGUAGGGGGUGAAAUCUCACGGCUCAACUGUGAGGCUGCCUUCUAGACUGCCAGGCUUGAGCACAGUAGAGGCUGGUGGAAUUCCCGGUGUAGCGGUGGAAUGCGUAGAGAUCGGGAAGAACAUCUGUGGCGAAGGCGGCCAGCUGGGCUGUUGCUGACGCUGAUGCGCGACAGCGUGGGGAGCAAACAGGAUUAGAUACCCUGGUAGUCCACGCCGUAAACGAUGGGUACUAGGCGUCGGGGGGAGCGACCCUCUCGGUGCCGUCGCUAACGCAAUAAGUACCCCGCCUGGGGAGUACGGUCGCAAGACUGAA